rnacentral:lncRNA from 1 species
AUACAGUCAAGCAAAAUGCACCCUAGUAUACUGAAUGAACACACAACAGUCACUCAUAUGUCAUCAUAUCAGCACCCACAACAAUAUCACCUUCAAAUAAUCACAUCACGUGGAAAUUAGUCAGUGGAGUCACCGAACCCCCGAUGAGCCGUCCUCCCACAUGGCUCAUCCUCUCACAUGUGCACCAGGGAGCCGAUCCCCCAUACUGGCCGACCGGUCUAAUCCUCACUUGACCAGCCCUCUCAUUGUUUUUACAUUCUCUUUUUUUUUUUNNN